GAAUUUUGUGUUUUUGCUGAGAUUUCUUUGUGAAAACCUAGCCGCCAUGGGGUGACACCCUUCUCUCCUACGUCAUCGUCGCCAUUUAUGGCAAGUUUUCAGGCGGGCUGUGUUUUUUCAGACUUGGUGUCGCUAGAACGUAAAGCAUUAAUUACUUGAACUCAAUUUCACCUAACACCAUCCAAACACGGUAUUACCUCUCCAUUCCCUGCACCUUUUACACUUUCAACGGUAAUAUCCUGCAAAUCCUUAAUUGUUUUUGGUGGUUUGCAAUUUUGAAUACUCAGUUUUUAUUGGUUCCUGAAGAACCCCACAGAUUGACCUAUUCCAAGUCAGAUCUGACCCUUCGCUUGUUUUUUUUUUUUUAACUAAUCUCGACCUUACAAUGUGGGGUUGUGAGGAGGAAAUCCUAUUUAUAGGGAGUUGUCCCACAUCGGUUAAACUAGGUUUUUGAAGUUUUGGGGAUUCCUAUUUAAAGGACCCUAUUUUUCAUUAUUUGAACAAGUUUGAGUAUAUUGAUAUUCAAAUAUACUCAGAAGACUCGAAAUACUUAAAGUUUUCAAAGAAAAUAUUUGAGAUCUUUAGAUUUUCUGAGUCAAGUAAUUUUUUUUUUUAAAAAGAAAUUGUUCUUGUUUGUUUUGCUGGGUUUGUGGCUAAGUUUUUGGGGUUUGGAGGAGCAAAAAUCUCCAAGUUCGAUCUCGAUAUAAGGCUGCACUUGCAAAAGCAUGAAAUACUAUUCGUUGGGCGAUUUCUAUUUGCAUAAACCCAUUGGGCUAAGGGUCCAAUAAUCCUUUCUUGAUCGAGUCCGUGGAAAAAGCGGAAAGGGAAGCUAAUGUGAUGAAGGCCUAUCUAUGGAUUAUUUCAGGUGAUGGAUCAAAGAAUAUGUGAAAAUACGCGGUGCCUAUCUGGAAGGCCUCCUCCCACUUCAUCCCGAGAUGGAGGUUGAGUCUUAGAUUGUAGUGGGAAUCUGGAAUUAAGUAGUCGCUCUUGUACCAGUCUAGACCAGGUCAUGGGAAAUUGUAUCAAGUCUAUAAUCACGUAUCGUUGUAAACAUAUAAACACUUGAGUUUAUCGAAUAUAUUAUGGAGU